GGGCGAGUGGUGGAACGGCAGACACGAGAGACUUAAAAUCUCUUGUCCUUCGGGACGUGAGGGUUCGACCCCCUCCUCGCCCACCA
rnacentral:tRNA from 1 species